rnacentral:rRNA from 1 species
AGUGAACGCUGGCGGUAGGCCUAACACAUGCAAGUCGAACGGCAGCACAGUAAGAGCUUGCUCUUACGGGUGGCGAGUGGCGGACGGGUGAGGAAUACAUCGGAAUCUACUUUUUCGUGGGGGAUAACGUAGGGAAACUUACGCUAAUACCGCAUACGACCUACGGGUGAAAGCAGGGGAUCUUCGGACCUUGCGCGAUUGAAUGAGCCGAUGUCGGAUUAGCUAGUUGGCGGGGUAAAGGCCCACCAAGGCGACGAUCCGUAGCUGGUCUGAGAGGAUGAUCGGCCACACUGGAACUGAGACACGGUCCAGACUCCUACGGGAGGCAGCAGUGGGGAAUAUUGGGCAAUGGGCGAAAGCCUGACCCAGCCAUGCCGCGUGGGUGAAGAAGGCCUUCGGGUUGUAAAGCCCUUUUGUUGGGAAAGAAAAGCAGCAGGUUAAUACCCCGCUGUUCUGACGGUACCCAAUGAAUAAGCACCGGCUAACUACGUG